GACAAAACAAGGCGGGAAAGGGGCGGCAGAGGCUCAUUGAAGACCCAAAUAAAUGCCUCUUUGUUCAGUGAUGACUGAAACAAUGAAAAAAUACCACCCAGGAGCUAGACCACAUGCAGAUGUGAACCACAGCUUCGCCAGAUGGUUUCAAAACCAAACUAAGAUGGUCAGAUGGUUUGCUGUACUUUGCAGAAUGCAACAUAUCUUCCUGACAACUACUUAAGUUGAACUGCUUAAAUUCAUGGAGCUCUGAACUGCAAGGAUUGGUGAAGAAGAGCAACAGGAAGCCUUCCAGAAGUCUGUUGGAGCAAUUGAUAACCGUAGUAUUAACAGGAGUACUCAAAGAACACAAGGCCCUUGAAGAGAAGUUUAAUAAAUCAUUUGAGUCAGUUUUCACUGUGGAAGAAACUGCAAUCACCAGUGGAUAUCCUGCAAAUCGAAGGGAUUUUGGAAGAGAGAAUGGAAGAAACUUGAUAAACUGAACAGUAAGAAAUCAUGAGGACCAGAUAGUAUUCACCCACAGUAUUCAAGGAGGAAACUGAAAUUGCUAGCAGGUGUGCAUAACCACAGUUUUAAAGCUGCACCGAUACCUGGUGUCUACAGGAUACCAAAUGUAAUAUCAACUUCUAGGAGGAGUCCCAUGGAAGAUAGGGGGCCUGACAGGCCAGGAAGCUUGCUCUCUCCUCUGCAGGUCAGUAGAAACUAUGAUAGGGAACAGAAUCAGUAGACACCUAGAUAAAUAUGAUCUACUUGGAAGAGUCAACAUGACUUUUAUAGAGGGAAAUUCUGCCUUACAAACUUACUAAAUUCCCUGAAGAGUCAACGUGCAUGUGGAAAAGAGUGAGAUGGUUGAUACAGUCUAGUUGGAUUUCCAAGGGGUAACUCAUAUUCUUGGAGCAGAUAAAGGAAUGCAUGCUUUUCCACUCCGCCAGCCACAGAACCCUAUAUAAAGUGUCUGGUACAUUUUUUUCCCGGUCACCCAUUGCUUCCCUAAACUGCUGUUUCUCUCGCCUCUUUCAAACAUCCUCCAUAAAUACCGGAGGUAAAUAAAUUUCCAUUAAGCCUUAGUACCGAAAAAGUGCAUCUCAGUCACUCUGUCUCCUCCCUUAACUUCUUCUCAGGACUGUAAUUUUUGAUUUCCCUUCUGUUGUGAGAUGAGCAAUACCAUCCUGGCUGGAAAAAGUGAUUUCAAGGGACAGAGCUCUAAAAGGUUGAUUUCUAGGGUGAACCACCAUGCUUAACCAUCCUUCUGUCCCUGUAGUUGUACCUCCAUUUCUAGGUCACCCAGGAAAGGGGAUGCUGCAUGAAUGCGCAACUCACUGUCAAAGCCUGAAAACACCCUACCUGCUACCUAGCUCUUUAGCAGAUGAAAAGGAAUGGAUACUUGCAGAUCUUACACCAGACUGUGUGUGACAGGAACAUUUCAAAAGGAGAAUGAAGACCCCACCACUCAAAAUUCUGAGCAAAUAGGAACAGACGAGAUUGCAAAAAUGCAAUGCCCAUCGGAGUAACGUGUUUGCGUCGAUCUGAGAAUCAUGACUGAUGUUGUCAAAAUUGGACUUGGUUUUUCACAUCGGCCAGCAUGUGACCACCUGGCUUGAACAACAGACGUUUUGUUCCUUUUAUGAAUGAGAGGCACUCUAUCAGCAAAACAUGAAUGGGCCCAGUUAUAUUCAAUAAACUGAGUUUUUCUUAGCUUUUGUUUCCCUUUGAGGAGAAGAAAUUUGAUGCCAUUGCAGUGAGUAGAAACUGAUUCAAAAACUGACCUUGGGGAAGCAAAACACGAAGACUGUUGCAUUUUGGAUGCUGUAAAAAUAGGAUUUGAGGAACUCUUGAUUAAAUUCAAUCAAAUAAUCA